CUGAUGAUGGAGGACAUAGGAAGAAAAUAAGUCUUAGAAUUGUGUUUUUCAAUAAUGAUUGAUAGAAAUCAUUGUGAAUGAGGAUGUGAAUCAGAAUGCAUGUUUACUAAUGAGUAUCAAUCCCUAUAGGAAACCUUCAGGUCAGAGGUCAUGCUGAUGUUUCCACUUAGAGCAGACAGACAGGUCCAGCUGAUCUCUACCUGCUUUGUUACCAGGAAAAUCUUUGACCCUGUCUGGAGAACUGGAGGAGACCUUAAGUUCUUUUCUCAGCAGAUGUCAGACAGCUGCUGCAGCAUUUCAUGCUGAUGUGAGUAUUUUCUUCCUGUUACUUGAGUAUAACGUUUCAACAUGCUAAAAUAAAUGUAUUUUACUUUCCAAUAAGCUCUCUGCAUCAGCACCUCGUCUGAAAUGACAUUCAGUGAACUGUUUAGACUUCAUCACAUCAGUCUCAUCCACAAUCACCGCUCUAGUUCAGACUAAUGUCGGCUGGUUUUGCUUGUGACUGUCCACCAAACCUGUGAUGAACUUCUGAGAGGUGUUUAUGCUUUUCUAGCACUGCGAUCGUCUCCAGUGUUUAAUUUUAAGGUGAAGAACAUCUUCCUCACAGUCUUACUGCGUUUGUGAACACAGACACAUGAAA